rnacentral:rRNA from 1 species
UGCAGUCGAGCGAACGGACGAGAAGCUUGCUUCUCUGAUGUUAGCGGCGGACGGGUGAGUAACACGUGGAUAACCUACCUAUAAGACUGGGAUAACUUCGGGAAACCGGAGCUAAUACCGGAUAAUAUUUUGAACCGCAUGGUUCAAAAGUGAAAGACGGUCUUGCUGUCACUUAUAGAUGGAUCCGCGCUGCAUUAGCUAGUUGGUAAGGUAACGGCUUACCAAGGCAACGAUGCAUAGCCGACCUGAGAGGGUGAUCGGCCACACUGGAACUGAGACACGGUCCAGACUCCUACGGGAGGCAGCAGUAGGGAAUCUUCCGCAAUGGGCGAAAGCCUGACGGAGCAACGCCGCGUGAGUGAUGAAGGUCUUCGGAUCGUAAAACUCUGUUAUUAGGGAAGAACAUAUGUGUAAGUAACUGUGCACAUCUUGACGGUACCUAAUCAGAAAGCCACGGCUAACUACGUGCCAGCAGCCGCGGUAAUACGUAGGUGGCAAGCGUUAUCCGGAAUUAUUGGGCGUAAAGCGCGCGUAGGCGGUUUUUUAAGUCUGAUGUGAAAGCCCACGGCUCAACCGUGGAGGGUCAUUGGAAACUGGAAAACUUGAGUGCAGAAGAGGAAAGUGGAAUUCCAUGUGUAGCGGUGAAAUGCGCAGAGAUAUGGAGGAACACCAGUGGCGAAGGCGACUUUCUGGUCUGUAACUGACGCUGAUGUGCGAAAGCGUGGGGAUCAAACAGGAUUAGAUACCCUGGUAGUCCACGCCGUAAACGAUGAGUGCUAAGUGUUAGGGGGUUUCCGCCCCUUAGUGCUGCAGCUAACGCAUUAAGCACUCCGCCUGGGGAGUACGACCGCAAGGUUGAAACUCAAAGGAAUUGACGGGGACCCGCACAAGCGGUGGAGCAUGUGGUUUAAUUCGAAGCAACGCGAAGAACCUUACCAAAUCUUGACAUCCUUUGACAACUCUAGAGAUAGAGCUUUCCCCUUCGGGGGACAAAGUGACAGGUGGUGCAUGGUUGUCGUCAGCUCGUGUCGUGAGAUGUUGGGUUAAGUCCCGCAACGAGCGCAACCCUUAAGCUUAGUUGCCAUCAUUAAGUUGGGCACUCUAAGUUGACUGCCGGUGACAAACCGGAGGAAGGUGGGGAUGACGUCAAAUCAUCAUGCCCCUUAUGAUUUGGGCUACACACGUGCUACAAUGGACAAUACAAAGGGCAGCGAAACCGCGAGGUCAAGCAAAUCCCAUAAAGUUGUUCUCAGUUCGGAUUGUAGUCUGCAACUCGACUACAUGAAGCUGGAAUCGCUAGUAAUCGUAGAUCAGCAUGCUACGGUGAAUACGUUCCCGGGUCUUGUACACACCGCCCGUCACACCACGAGAGUUUGUAACACCCGAAGCCGGUGGAGUAACCUUUUAGGAGCUAGCCGUCGAAGGUGGGACAAAUGAUUGGGGUGAAGUCGU